CGCCCACGACCCACUUACUCUUUUAAAGCUAGUUCCUCGCCUCUAGCCUCCAGGUUUCUUCACUCCUUGUCAUCAGUCUCCCUGUCUCCCGGCAGCCCCCGGCCGCGGGCCCCUCCCUCCGCACGGGCUCGCACCUCUCCCCAGCCUGGUGCACCUGGGCUGACGCGGGCUCGGGACGCGUGCGGAGCGCCGCGAGUGUGGCGGAGGCAGAGGCGCGCUGACUGCCCCCUCCAGCCGGUGCCGGAGGGACAGCACGAGCUGCGCAACGGGGACCUCCUCCUCGGCCGCCGCUCACGGCUCGCGGUGACCACCGCCGCUGAAGCUGCGGGCAGGCAGCCGUGCGUCUCCCAGGACAGCCAGCCCGGGCGGCUGCUCCUCCCGAAUGCCAGGGCCAGGGCGCCGGGCGGCCGCCAGCAGGAGAAUGAAGAGCUCGGUGGGAGGAAGGAGAGAAAAGCUCCUGGGGACGCCGAAAGCUCAGUCCAGCCACGCUUUGACCUCCUGGGCUCAAGUAAUCCUCCCCCCUCAGCCUCCCGAGUAGACGGGACUACAGGCAUGUACCACCACACCUGGGUAUAGUUUUGUAUUUUCUUUUAUAUAAACGGGGUUUUGCCAUGUUGCCCAGGUUGGUUUUGAACUCCUAGGCUCAAGUGAUCCAACUGUCUUGGCCUCCCAAAGCACUGUGAUUAUAGGUGUGAGCUACCAUGCUCAGCCUGAAAUCUUUUAAAGCCAAAAUUGUGACAUUCUCUGUGCUUGAGAAUUCAUAUGAAGACAUGUCACUUAUUCUGCAGUAUAUGAAAAACUGUAAUGUUUUAUCAACUGAUUGUAACUCUCUGGAGAGAAGUCCCUAAAAUUUUUUUCGAUAAAUUAAUUCAUACUUGAAUUUGUACUUGAUUUAGAUAUUGGCUAGCACACUGUUUAUUGGAAGAUAUUUUAAAAUGUAAUUUGAAAAAUAAUUUAAAUAUAAGAUUAGAUAUUUUCCUGAAGAGGAAAUAAAAAGGUAAAACUUAAAAAAAAUACAGGGGCUUUCUGCCCACAAUUAUUAUAACAAAUCAUUUAAAGAGUUGAAAUCUGAUAUUUUAUGUAUGUGGUAAUAUGUGUUAUCAGAAAAAAAAUCUCUAUUAUAAAUGAGGAAUUCAGAUACACUUUUAAACUUGAAUUUUCCCCUCACUGUUUCAGAUUUUGGCUUAGCGUAUUUUAAAACAAGGAUUAGCAAACUUUCUACAAAGGAAUAGAUAGUAAAUAUUUUAGACUUUGUGGGCCAUAGAGUCUCUGUUGUAAUUAAACAAUGUUACCAUUGUAGCAUGAGAACACCAGGCACAAUACCUGAAUGAAUGAGUGUGGCUAUGUUCCAGUUUUAUUUUAUUUACAGAUACUGGUGGCAGGCAAGAUUUGGUAACGAAUCAUAGUUUUCCAACUCUUGUUCUAGAAAAAACAGAACUUAGUGUAAAAGCAUUUAAUAUUAUAUAUUUUUGUGAGUUAAGCCUUUGGAUUGAAUUCUUGUUCAUGUUCAAAAUUAGUCUGGACAUGGUCUGUCAAGCCUAAUGAUCCCAACAUUUUGGGAGGCUCACACAGGAGGAUCACUUAAGGCCACGGAGGCAGGAGGGUAACUUGAGCCUAGGAGUUUGUGAUCAGCCUGUAAAACAUGGCAAGACCCCAUCGCUACAAAAGAAAAAAAUUAACUGGGUAUAGUGGUUCAUGCCUGUAGCCGCAGCUACUCCAGAGGCUGAGGCAGAAGAAUCGAUUGCACCUUGCAGUUCAAGUCUCCAGUGAGCCCUGUUCACAACACUACAGUCUGGGUUGACAGAGCAAGAUCUUGUCUCAAAAAGAAAAAAUUUACUAUAUUGAAAAAUUCUUAAGAAACGUGAUGCAUCCACAUAUACACACAAACUCAUACACAUAAACUAUUAGAGCUAAUAAAUAAGUUUUGCAAGAUUGAAGGAUAAAAGAUCAAUAGAUAAAAAUCAAUUGUAUUUCUAUGUACUAG
ensembl:lncRNA